GCGGAGGGUGCGGCCAGCGCGGUACCCGCCCCGGCGAGGCGCUGGGGAGGCCCGGGUGGGGAGAAGAAAUGGGGCCUGGGGGACGGUAGGAGCCUCCGUGCGGAGACCACUGUUCAAGGCCACAGACAUUUAUGCAGUGUGUGAUUCUUUCUAAAACAACUCCCUGGAAGAGAGGACAUUUAAUUCAACAAUUUAUUGGCCACCUACUGUGCACCAGGCAGUGAACUUGGAACUGGGGCUACUGGGUUACAGCAGUGACCAAGACAGAGGUCCCUGUUCUUAAGGAGCAAGUGAGGGCAACAGAAAAGAGCAGAAGUCAGCUGUCAUGCGAGGGCACUCAAGCAGCCCUGUGGAAAGCUCUACGUGGUGAGAAACUGAAGCCUCCUGCCAACACCAACAAGGAACUGAGACCUACUUCCAACAGCCAUCUGAGUGAUCGAUCCAUCCUGGAAUCAGAUCCUCCAGCCCCAGUCAAGUCUUCAGAUGACUGCAGCCCUGACCAGCAUCUCAACUGCAACCUCGUGAAUGACCCUGAGCCAGAACCAUGCAACUAAACUCUGCGUGGAUUCAUGACCCACAGAAACUGUGAGAUGGUAGCUGUUUGCUUUGUUAAGCCUCUAAGUCUGGAAAGAAUGUCUUAAGCAGUAGCAGACAAUGAACACAAGAUUAUUAUUCAGCUGUUGAAUUGGAAGAGGAGGGGAAGAAAAAAUUUUCAGAUCACAAAAUAUUCAUUGUGUAAAACUUCAAAAAUUCUGAAAUUUAAGGAAAAAAUAUCAUUUGUUGGGAAUUUGUUGGGAUUCAUUGUCUCAGUGCCAAGAGACACCCACUCUUUUUUUUUUUUUGAGACAGAGUCCUGCUCUGUUGCCCAGGCUGAAGGGCAGUGGCACGAUCUCAGCUCACCACAACCUCUGCCUCCCGGGUUCAAGUGAUUCUCCUCCCUAAGCCUCCCAAGUGGCUGGGACUACAGGCAUGCAUCACCAUGCCCGGCUAAUUUUUGUAUUUUUAGUAGAGACGGGGUUUCACUAUGUUGGCCGGCUGAUCUCAAACUCUUGACCCCGUGAUCCGCCCGCAUCAGCCUCCCAAAGUGCCGGGAUUACAGGCAUGAGCCACUGCGCCCGGCCGAGACACUCACUCUUAACAUUUUGGUAUAUUUUUUCUCUCUGCACAUUUUUUAUCCAGCUGACUUUAUUUUGUCUCCUGAAAUCUUCAUUUUUAAAUUAUAGCUUCAGCAUUUAAGAAAAUGUGUCUAACAAAGUCUUCGCAAGCAUACAUUUUUCCCAUAGUUAGUAUACUUAGAAUUUAUUUGUCAAGCAAUUUUGAAGGGCUUUCACUAUGAAAAACUUUAGGGCUUAUUGAUAUUCUCUUUAAGUAGAAGUAUGUUUUUUAUUAUUACAAAAGUUAUAUAUGUAUAUAUAUGGUGUUUGUGUUUGUGUGUGUGUGUGUGUGUGUGUGUGUGUGUGUGUGGAGUCUCGCUCUGUCACCAGGCUGGAGUGCAGUGGCGUGAUCUCAGCUCACUGCAACUUCCUCCUCCCAGGUUCAAGCGAUUCUCCUGCCUCAGCCUCCUGAGUAGCUGGAACUACAGGUGCGUGCCACCACGCCUGGCUAAUUUUUGUAUUUUUAGUAGAGACGGAGUUUCGCCAUGUUGGUCAGGCUGGCCUCGAAUUCCUGACCUCAAGUGAUCCGCCCGCCUCGGCCUCCCAAAGUUUUGGGAUUACAGGCAUGAGCCACUGCGCCCGGCCUUAUACUGAAUUAUAUAAGGCGAAAAGUGAACGUCUCCUGUAAUCUAGAAAAAUGGCAUUAUAAUGAGUAAAUUUUAAAUUUUAAUGUAAUUUUCCAGAAUUUUUUUUUUUUGAGACGGGACGGAGUCUCACUCUGUUGCCCAGGCUGGAGUGCAGUGACGCGAUCCUGGCUCACCGCAACCUCUGCCUCCCACGUUCAAGCGAUUCUCCUGCCUCAGCCUCCCAAGUAGCUGGGACUACAGCCGCCCACCACUGCGCCCGACUAAUUUUUGUAUUUUUAAUAGAGACGGGGUUUCGCCAUAUCGGCCAGGCUGGUCUGGAACUCCUGACCUUGUGAUCUGCCCGCCUUGGCCUCCUAAAGUGCUGGGAUUAUAAGCGUGAGCCACCGUGCCCGGCCUUUUUU
rnacentral:lncRNA from 1 species